rnacentral:rRNA from 1 species
UCGGGAAUUUUGGGCAAUGGGCGCAAGCCUGAUCCAGCCAUGCCGCGUGGAUGAUGAAGGCCUUAGGGUUGUAAAAUCCUUUCGCCGAGGACGAUAAUGACGGUACUCGGAGAAGAAGCUCCGGCUAACUUCGUGCCAGCAGCCGCGGUAAUACGAAGGGGGCUAGCGUUGUUCGGAUUUACUGGGCGUAAAGCGCGUGUAGGCGGGUCGUUAAGUUGGGGGUGAAAUCCCGAGGCUCAACCUCGGAACUGCCUUCAAAACUGGCGACCUGGACCUAAGUAGAGGCAAGUGGAAUUGCGAGUGUAGAGGUGAAAUUCGUAGAUAUUCGCAGGAACACCAGUGGCGAAGGCGACUUGCUGGACUUAUGGUGACGCUGAGACGCGAAAGCGUGGGGAGCAAACAGGAUUAGAUACCCAAGUAGUCCCUGAG